rnacentral:rRNA from 1 species
UACGUAGGGUGCGAGCGUUGUCCGGAAUUACUGGGCGUAAAGAGCUCGUAGGUGGUUUGUCGCGUUGUUCGUGAAAACCGGGGGCUUAACCCUCGGCGUGCGGGCGAUACGGGCAGACUAGAGUGCGGUAGGGGAGACUGGAAUUCCUGGUGUAGCGGUGAAAUGCGCAGAUAUCAGGAGGAACACCGGUGGCGAAGGCGGGUCUCUGGGCCGUAACUGACGCUGAGGAGCGAAAGCGUGUGGAGCGAACAGG